GAUUUUGUCUAUAUGUUGAACAUUAACUCUGUUCCAGGGGUGGAGGAAAUACUGUUCCACAGUUUACUGACCCUUGCUGCUCUUCUGUCUUAGAACUGAUACAAAGACAGAAGGAAAGGAUUUAAAAAGAAAUAACCUCUACAGAUGGGUUUGGUUCCAUGGUUAGCUCUUAUUUUUCAAUGGAUAGAAGCACCUCCAUUCCUGAUUUUCCCAACUGUGUGCUCUACCUGGAUUCCUGUGAUCAUGUCAUGGAACAAAAGGAUUUAAGGGGAGCAGUUUCAACUGUAAGGUCAUGAAAUUAUGAAGAGUGAAAUGAGCAGAACCAAGAGAAUAUUAUAUACAACA
rnacentral:lncRNA from 1 species